ensembl:lncRNA
AGCAGUGUGUGCUGCUUGCCCCAGAGCCUUCCCUCUGUUGGCCGGAGCAGCUGAGCUUGGAAGAAAGGCGUGGCACAGGACUGGGGCUUGAGCUGGAGUGUGAAACACCCUCACCGGCCUUAAGCUGUCCCAAGACAAAUGUGUGCAUGGACAAAGUAAUUCAUUGUGAAUGGCGCAUUGCUACAGUAAGGAAGUGAAGGACGACAUCAGACCAACUGAUCUGACCAGCUGCUGUGCUACCUCAUCAGACUGCAGCAGACAGCAAACAAGGAAGUGGGCAAAUUUGCCAUUUAUAUGGAUAGCUUUGCAAGGCAACCUAGCUCCUUCAAAAAGAGUUCAUGAAUGUGUGCAUCACAGACCACAAACCUGUAAAAUGAUCAGUGGUACUUUGUGGACAAACCAGUCUCUGGUGACGGAGAUCACAGGUGGAGUGCUGCUGCAGUGGCUCCUGAAAACUUCAUCUUUCUUUGGAGUGAAUUGGAGGCAAGGUGAUGAAAAAGGCAGGAGCUGCAUUUGAAUGAGAGAUCGAUCACAGAGACUGAAAGUGACAGCCCUAUCACAUUUGUUUGUGGACUUUGGAGACAGACAGAAAGGAUGAGCAAUUGACAAGGAGUAUGCUGAAUGAGUAGAAGCAGCUGAAACCCUACGGUUGGUAAGGAAUUUAUGUAAAUAUUGCAAUUAAAUCUUGUCUGUAAUAAUAGGUGACCUUUAAUCUAGUUUAUAUUAAGUCCCCUAAUCUCUCAGAUUCUAAUUGAGUGAUGAAGAUGCAAGGCUUCAUGAAAGGAAAGCAGAUCACAAGAAAAUAAUGAUUUUUUUGUGUAAACCAUGAUUUUCCAAUUACUCCUCUCAGCUGGGACAGAAAAAACAUCUAACUUGUGAUAUGUUCUGAUCCAAAAUUAAUCCUUUUGUAACUGUGUGUCUUUAGAUUAAAGGUUACUUUGGCUUUCUUCCAUGCAAAUUUUCAGCCCUUUUGGUAAUAUUAAUACUAGCUUUUUUUUCCCCCAAAACAUUAUUAAAACAUAUUGGUAAGUAAUGCUUUCAAUAAUGCAGAGAAAAACCCAGAUAAAUAAUAAUUAAAAUAGCAUGCAAGCUUUCUUUAUUCAACUUACGAGGUAAAUAUCCAUUUGUUAUAAUAAAUUCUUUUAAAAUAUGUGAAAACAGUUGUGGCAUAAGGAGGGAGUUACGGUUUUGACUACAUGAUGUGUGUAAAGCAAACUUGGGAUAAGAUUUGAGUGGCAAGAAAUUCCAGGCAAAUAUGGGUAGAGACAUUUGCUGCACCUUUGCAUCACAGAGAAGAAUCGCAAAAGAUUGGAUAUGCUUGCAGUGUCUGUGUAUGUGCCAUUAGGAUCAUGCAAGAAAACUGUGAAGUGUCGCAGAGAUCUUGUUUGUACAGUGGUUUGAAAUGUAAUGAUAACAAGUGCUUUACGCUGCACUAGGGUUACCUUUGUAUGUUAAAGGUGUAAUUUUUUCUGUUUCACAAGGAAGCUAAAUUCAGCCUCGCAGUGAAGACAAAGAGCUUAUAUUUCAUAUGGCAGAAACAGAAAUCGGCGCACAAGGGAAAGGUCACAUUUGGUGUGACAGUCUUGAAAAAGAAAAGGGUUUUGCAGAAGCCAAUCUGCGUAGGACACAGAUAUAUUUGCCAAAACUAGAGAGGAGAGUACUUUGAAAUGUCAAAGAGAAGCACUGAAACUUCAGUUUGAACAGAUGAAGAUGGAUCCCAAGAAGAAUGUAAAAACAGGACUGUUCAGCUUAGACAUGAUGGCUAAAUUUGUGAUUUUCCUGUGAAAAUAGGAAUUUGAGAGAAAUCCUUGCAGAGUCCUUGAAGCUUCAGGAAAAGCAAGAGAGUAGACAAAAUAUCAAAAGGGAGAAGAUUUUAAGUAAAUGGUAGGCCAGUUGCUGUUUAAGAGGGCUGUUAGAUGGACAGGGAGCAGAUAAAGAAUACAUUCUCCACAUCUACUUCAAAGAGACCAUUAGAAAUUUUGAUUGGUUUCACUGGAGUGAAAGGGGUGGGUAUCUGGACUGAAAGAGAGAUCAGAAGAUAGAUUGUAAAUAAAAUCUUCAAUGAGUACAGAAAUGAGACAGAUAAGAAUUGGAAAAAAUAACUGAAAACUUGAGUGUAGCAAAGUGUGGGUUUUUGUUAAAGAUGAGUAAACGACAUUUUUCCUGUGGAGCAAAUGUGAAAGAGCUACAAGAAAGUAAAGAUUUAAAGAGAGGCUACUUUUUGCAGUUUUCCAUAUUGACAUUAUACAGAGAGAAACUGAAGCAGAAAUAAAGAAGCUAUCGAGAAAACAGUCAGAAGCUGUGGGAAGGUUAAUGGGUUUACAAGCAUGGGAUUAAAAAGAAGAGUUGUUAAUAUCUGUUUAGAAAAGUGGCAGAAACUAAAAAGAACGAAUCCCUAGUUUCUGCAGUAGUGAUGAGACUACUAAAGUAGUUGUGGGAAGUCAUUGACAGCGGAGUUCAAGAUGACAACAGGAGCUGAAUGACACAGACGUUGCUCCAGAAGGUGUGGGAAGAAGGAGACUCAUCUGCAGGAGAUGGCAGUUCAAUAGGCAGAGAUUGUGCUUGUUUGCUGAGUGAUUAAACUUCUUUUUUUCCCUAAAGCACUACAGAAAUGUUCCAUCAGGAAAUCUCCCUCAUGCAGAACAUGGUGCCUCUGUGAACACAGUCCAGAAGAGUUUGCUUACUUACUUGCACUUCUUAAUUACUUUUUUUCCUAAAAAUAGUCACUUUCAUACUCUCCAAUUCUUGUAGCUGUUUGCUAAAAAUAAAAGGACCUGAUGGUGAGUACAAGUUUCAUAAAUGCAAAUACAGCUUUGCAGUACAAAUUAAAAAUGUGGCUUGAAUUAAAAUCAUUGAUAGUUUGUAGGUUGUUCAUGUUGCUUUUGUAGACCCCUAAUCACUUGAGGUAUGUCUAAGCUUUUUGGCUGAUACUUAGUGCAUUCAAAUCAGCAAAUUAAUCUCUUGGGUACAGAGCAACUCAGUGUACCUUAAGUCACAGUGCAUAAAGUUACUUUUGUUGCUAUCUACAGAUUGUCUUGACAUGCAGCAUAUACCCACAGGUUCAGAAAAAUUGCCCUUUGAUUACAUGUACAAUAAUCUGGAUCUCCCAAGGUAUUCAAGUGGUUAAUUAAAUAUCAAGUAAUUGCUAAAACUACUAAGUGACAUUUAAUUAGUAUGUUAAUUGAUAUCAAAUUUGCUCUCACUAUCUUGUUUUAUGUUAAUAAAAUCCCUAAACAUUUCUUCGAAGUAGAUUAGGAAGCAAUGUGCUUCAAAUAUACUAAUUCAAAACAGCCUUAAGCAUUACUUCUGCUCACAGAACAUACUUUCUGACUUAAAUUUUUAUCACAGAUGUUUUAUUUUGUCUAUCUUUAAACUUACUUUUUGCUAAGAGUGCAUUAUAUCUAGUAGCGUAGACCUCUCUUGGAAUGGAUUUUAGCUUUUAUAAGCUCAUAAUCCCUUAGAAUUCUAUCUGAAGUGUGAUAACUGUUAAUAGAAGUCUAGGGCUGCGUCUCUCCCCUUUGGCACCUACCGAGUAGAGAUAGCCAGGUGCUAUGGGGACUGCAUAGUCCCUCCAGUUGGCUAAUGUGAAUGAUGUAUUUCUGUGCUGACAUCUGAUCUGGGGUUUAGAAAUCUGUGCUCCACACAUAAUACAAAACCACCAUAAAUGUAUUAAGUGCCUGAUUAUUCUGCAGCAGUGAAAUUUUGCCGUAGUGGUAGCUUGCAGGGUGUUCCCCUCCUCCUCUUCAUUAUCCUACCCAGGAAACAGCCCUGCUGUAGCUUUCACACUGAGCAUUCCAAAAUUCUCUUUGCUUUCCUUUGCUGAAGAGACCAACAGUGAUGUAGAAAAGAGAUGCCUUUAGGCUUGGGUCCAGAAAAGACUGGCUGGAGUCCAAGCUGACAAUAGCCCCAAGCCUGUCCUUCCUUUCAACCACCACAGUGCUCCCUGUGGCCUCAUCAGAAACAGGAUAUCAAAAGAAAGAAGUAUGUUGGCAUGAAAACCUGGUACCAAAAGGACAUUUACAUUCCCUGACUGGCAGAGAUGCGAAAUACAUUGCAAAUCAUUCAACUAAUUAAGAAGGGGUUCAUUUUCUUUUAAGUCCAGUAAGACCUACUGAAGAUCUACAGAAUAAAGAGAAAAUAAACAAGAAGAUAUGGUGGCUAAAUACAUAGCAGAGAGGGAGCAACCUGAAUUGAUGCAUUAAGGGAAAAGAGAAGUAUGAUAUAAACACAGUUUGCACCUGGAAACCAUGCUUACUAUGCUCUGCAUUGCCCACAGUGGGAGAAUAAUGCAAGCUCACCUGGUCUCUUCCUCACCUUCUGCAGCAGGAAUGGUGCUAUCCCCCCAAACAUGGAAAAGAAAACUAUGAAAGACAUGCCGUGUUGGAGUUUUCUUCUAAAUGCUUAACUUCAGAAUUUUGCUUAUCUGCUACUGAAGUGCUAAUUCACUGGGAACUCUCCAUAGUAGUAUCAGUCUUAUGUAUUUACCUAUGAAGUUCUUCUAACAGAUGAAUUGUUUACUCAUAAACCUUCAAUUUCCAAUUCACUUAUUUAAAGUGAGAUUCUUCUUACAGAAUAAAUUCUGGAUCAUGGCUUUAAUUUAAUUUAUUCCUAAGUAACACAGAGCAGAACUUCAUUUUAUAGAGGAUGGAAAAAAAUAUUAUACUGCAUUUCCAUCUACAAAUUUUACUUUGUAUUAUUACAACAGUUUAGGAACUUAUGAUAUAUACAGUUUAAUAUUUUCUAUAUUAAAGCAAUCUCACAUAAAAUAACCAUUGUUACUGUUUAUUUUCUUACUUCUUACAGUGAUUUCUAUUCCAAAAUUAAUGAAGAGGAACUUUGGGUUUUGGUUUGUUGGUUACUUUUUGUUUGUUUGGGUUUUAAGUUGAAUUGUGUAUAUUUAAUAAAUGAGCAUCUUCUCUUGUCACAUUCUUGGUUUUUUUAAAACCACUAUUUUGGUAUACAAUCCCGAUCCCAAAAAUUUAUGUUACAUUAACAUGGAUUGUAUUUAGUGGAAAUAAAAGAUGUGAAUCCAAAAUCUUGAUGUAUUUGACAACAUUUUUUGUGUCUUCUUGUAUGAAUGUGUAUAUUGUUAUAGAUUGUUCUUCAUCUUCCCGUAAGGGAUAAACCAGAAGCAAUUAUAAUUUAAUAGCAUUCUGUAUGCUAAGAAUAUGUGGUGACACAUAAUGGAGUCCAAUAUACCUAUCUGAUUACAAGUUGCUCUUUAGACAUAGGACAAAUAACUACAAGAUGG